GCUAUCCAGGCGCCCUGUGGCGCGGCCCGCCGAGACGCAAGGUCCUCCGCGCAGCCUAGAGAGGACGCGGAAGUCGGCUGGGGGCGGGGCCCGAGGCCCCUGCGCGUUGACUCCCGAUGCAGUUUAACGGGUUCUGUGAGGGUCGGCGAUAGUGUGUCGCUGAGGGUGGGCGUCCGCCUGUUGCCCUCUGUUCUCCCGUUUACCUCACCUAGCGGUGCCGCCAGCGCCCGAGGGGAGUGGGUGCGGGUCCCGAGUCCCCCGGCGAGGGUCGACGCCAGCAGUGUCUGUCCUCGUGCCCGGGUGGUCGGGGCCGUGCCACCCUCGGUGUCCCCCGACCGUCUCUUCUCAGGCGCGCCCAUCCCCCACUCCUCACGUUCCCAGCCCUACUUCUCCCCCGAGGAGCAGGUUCUGGGACGACCCCGGGUCAUAGUGGACAAACCUCCUGUUGCCGGGGCCGGUGACCUUCGAUGAUGUGGACGUGGGCUUCAGAAACAGAGUGGACUCGCCUGGAGUGUCCUGAGAAGGCUCUUUACACGGACGUGACAUUAAAGAAUUACGGAAACGCCAUGGCACUGAAGUGUGGAGAGUCGUGCAAGAAGGAAAGGGAGAGAAGGAAGUGCACACAACAGGAUGCUACAUUGUUUCCUUAAACGAAACUUUUCCCCCAGCCUCUGCCGGUCGUGGCCCUGAAGACCCCGCCCUCUGCAGAGGGAAGUCCUGAGGCCCGGUCAUGGCGGUCAUGGCGGCUGCAGCCCUAGCCCUUGGGUCUGGGACUGGCGUUGCCUGGCCCUUCCGAGAGGAAUCUCCAUUAAGGCGUGAUGGAGAAUUUCGGGAACGUGACCUGACUGGGUAAGAACUCUCUGUGUGUCUCAGUUAAUCCAUUGCUGACUAAGUCAUUGCUGCCACCCAUUUGUUGGCAUGGUCUGAAGCUUUCAGGUUAGUUGGUUUUAGUUUCUGAAUCCUUGUAAGCUGCAUGGUCCCUCCUGAUGAAGAGUGGGCUAUUUCUGCUUCCUAUAAAUGUUGGGUUCUGAUAUUUCCCUUACUGGAAAUGGGCAUAUUUCCUGGGAUCUGAGUUUACCCUCUCCAGCACCCAGGUGAUCUGUCUGUAUCGAAGACCUUGACCCCAGGAGUUUUACUUCCGGCCUAAGAUGGUCGUCCCCUUAGAGAGCAGCCCCGCCUGUUGGCUUCCCGGCCAUGUCUGUUUCAUGUUGGCAGAAGGCCUAAGGCUGCUUUGGGUCCAUUAUCUCCCCUUUUCCUGUUCCCAGUGCUAUGAAUAGAAUUUUAUUUUUCCCAACCUAAUCUGAUCAUCUUCCUGGAACAAGGGGAAGCAUGAUGGGUACCAGAUCUGCCGGCCACUUAAGGAUGGAGGGCUUUGCUCACACUGGUGAGUGAGGGGAGUCCCUUAGCUCCCCUCCUGUGGCAACUCCUUCCCGUGUGCCUUGGGCAGAACGCCGAUUUAGAUGAUUCCUCAUUUUCUCUUGGUCUCUUGGCCACCAGGGGAAAUCGGAUAGAAACUUCUACAGGAAUACCCCAGUGUGCAUUUCCUCUCCCCUGGGUUAGCCAUGAGCACCUGGAGGACAGCCUCUGACGUCUGCCUCUGCCUGGGCCGUCUGCGUGCAGUGAAGACCCCGAGGAGCUUCGCCCGCAGCCGUUCCCCUUUACCUGCUGCUUUGUUUUCUUACCCCUUUCCUUCUGGGGCUUGACUUCAUCUCUACACAUCAGCUGACUGUGCUGUUCAUUCCCUAGGUGUUUUGCCCGGCCCUUCGUUCCUCCCUCUCACUCUGUGUUACCAGCACACUCGGCCUUCCUUGUCGGCUGGCUCUCGGCCCCGUCCCAGCUCCCUUCCCUCCCUUACCGCGACGGCUUGGGAGGACGAGGGCUGCACAUCAGCAUUCUCUCUUCGGUGCUUCUGUUCUCAGAAUGUCCUGAGUCCCGAGAAACCACAAGAGGUUUUAGAAGAAAAGAUCCUUCAAGUAUGGCGAGUGCGGGAAGAGGUCCCCUGGGAAGUCACGACCUCCUGCUUGGCGGAAAAUCUGCUGAGAGGUCUGCGCUCUCCCGUUCCUGCAGCCCACAGGAAUUGCGCUCGCCAGCAGUCUGAUUGAGAUGUGGGAAGGCCUUUAGGAGGAAUCCCAACCUUACUGAUCGUCAGAGACUCCACUUCGGGGAGAGGCCUUGAUGGGGAGGGAGGAGGGCAGAAAGGUGGCCAACAAUCACCAAGACUGUCAUCAGCAUAGUAGGUUUCAUACCAUUUCCAAGCCUGGAGUCUGACUAGUGGGAAAGCGGAAAAAGAUCAUCCCUUCCCUUCUCCCAGAAUGGAUGCAGGAGACCGAGGGUGCAAACACAGCAAGGAGGAGAAAGCCUUCCCUGUGGCUAAUUCCAAGCCGUUUCUGUAAAGGGGCCAGAGAGUAAAAAUGCUCGGCUGUGGGCUAUCGGCCCGGCCCUGCUGUCGGAGCACAGAAGCAGCCAGAACUAUGCACGCAGAGGAGUGUGGCUGCCUUCCAGUACGAUUUGCUUUACGAAAACAGAGAGCCUACCGGGUUUGGCCUGCAGAUCCUACUUUGCCAACCCCUGUUCCAGAGAGAAAGCCUCUUGAGAAGCCUUGAUAAUCAGAGGAUGGAGUCACAAGACAGGAUUCCUAAUGCAGAGAAACCUCGGAACAGCACGAUUAGUGCAACAGAACCUUCAGGGCGGUGCUCCAGCCUGUCAGAGGGCGGUAGGAGAGGCCUGAAAGAUCCAGAAACCUGGGUUUUGCCACAAAAUAGCCGAAGGACCAGCACCCAGUCACUCAAAAGCCACAGGGCUUUUAUGAGAAGAACAAGAGAGUACAUCUGAGAGUGCUUCCAAAAUGAAUAUGAUAAACACAUAUAUUAAUUUUUGUAAGUGAUCUCUACACCCACCGUGGGGCUUGAGCUCACAACCCCAAGAUCAAGAGUCGCACACUCCACUGACAGAGCCAGCCAGGCGCCCCGCUAUGGUAAACACAUUUAAAAUGGUGAUUUAUGUGAAAAGAUGUUACUCAUCCUCCAAAUAGUUUCUGAGCCUCUGCCUCGCCAGGUUCCUGCAGAAGGAAAUCGGGAGCAGAGAGGGCAGGUGGUGUUUAGUGCCACGGGACAGGAUGAUUUCACCGAGGGGAUUCGUGAGGGUCGUGCUGGGGGCUCCAACAUUCAGCAGUAGGGGGAAGCGAGGGACUCAGCCUGGAAGAUUGUGAAAGUGUCCCAUGAGGUGGGAAAACAGCAGUGAGGAGCCGGGAAGGCAGUGCCUGAGGAUGGGACAGUCGCCUCCUGGUGCUGCUGCUGAGCGGGCAGGCGUAGGACUGGGCAGGGACACUGGCUUUGUUGAGGGCGCUGUCUGAGCUCCCCGCGGCUGCACCUAGCACCUAGCACUUAGCACCUAGCACCUAGCACCAGCCAAGCGGCUUAGAACAAUAGGAAUUCUCAGGGUUCUGGAGGCCAGAGGUCCAAAAUCAAGGUACCAGCGGGGCCGAGUUCCCUCUGCGGGCCCUGGGGGAUAAUCCUUUGCCUCGGCCAGCUCCUGGGCUCCCGAGGCUCCUUGGUUUGUGGCCGUGGAACUCCAUUCUCCGCCUGUGUCUUCUCAAGGCCCACUAUCCUGUCCGUGUCUCUUCUGUGGCUCCUAGGACACUUGUCUUUGGAUUUAGGGCUCCUCUCGUAAUCCAGGAUGAUCUAGUCUCAAGAUUCUUAAUUACAUCAGCAAACACCCUUUUUCCAAAUCCGUUUGCACUCCGAGGUUCCAGGGGUUAGGACGUGGACGUAACUCUUGCAGGGGCACCUUCUGGCCCGCUCCAGGUUUUGCUGAAGCGAUGGUGACAAAGCCAGUAACAAAGGGAGCCGGUUCUGAAGGGAUUGGGGGAGGGGAGGGAGAGGGGAGUGCAGCCGCAAGCCAGUGUGGAGCUGGAGGGUAAGACUGAGUCACGCUCACCGAUGAAAGCCGGGAUCCUCUGAUACCCUGCUCUCCCUGUCGGAUGUAGCACCCCCUCCCCCCCCACACACAUGUCAUGGCCUUUCUGGAAUCAGCCAUUGCAGUGAGCGCAUUGUAUCAGGGUCUUUAGAGGCCACGUGAGCUUCCCCUGGGGGUGGGGGGAUAGCAUUGCCAAGGCCGGGGGGUGGGGGGGUUGGCCAGGAGGUAAAAGAGAUGAAACUCGCAAUGGCCCGACUUCCGUGGGCACUUCUGGAAGGCCAGCAGGCGGUGCCGGGGGCUGGCAGAAGCCGGUUACCUGCAGUCGUGAAGCCACUCUCCACCAAACAAAUGGCAUGUCCUCCCCCAACCACAGGAAGCCUGUCCUCACUCACUAAACCCACCGCGCAAACUUGCAGGAGGAAGAGGUAGUCUUCUUGAAUGCCGGGCACCCACGGGAGGCUUGCCAUUGGGCCGGUACCCAGAUCUCCGACGGGAAUGGCUCACCCCGGCUAUUUCGCCUAGAAAAUCUCAAACCGGGAUGCCAACAGUGGUGCGCUUUCGGGAAUUGUGAGUUGAGGUCAUCUCAGCCUUGAACAAAAGAGAACUAAACAGAAGAUCUCAGGUGGAGGCCUUGGCCAGGAUAGGCCGCAUUGUGAUGUGCAGACAGACGGUGGUGUGGCGGAGGAAGUUACUCCCUGGAGGGUUAGCACCGGGAGGACGACGGGGCGUGUGUGGAGGGGCGGAGGGUGUAUUUCAAGUCUCAGCUGAAACCCAUUUCAGAAAGACAGCCCUGAGUAAGUGGGGUUCCCUGUUUCAGCUCACCUGUCCCAUGUUGUCGGCCUGGGAGCGUCGCUCCACCAUGGCGAGGUCUGGCCCAGCGUCACCCCCAUGGACCACAUGGACCACAGAAGGGGAGGCAGACCCCGCUGGCUCCCACAUCUCGGAGAGAGCUUUGUCCCGAGCAGUUGCUCUGUGCUGCCUGGGGGGGACACUGCCGCCUCCGCCCUGCAGGAGCCCAUCUGUGAGCUCUGACCCAUGCACAGCUCCCCGCCCACCCCCCGUGGCAGGGUGUGCAGGGGAGUCUCCUGCAGUCACUGAGGGCGGGGUAUAUGCAACCUUCCCUCUGCACCGCUGCCUCUCCAGUGGCCUCUUGGCACCUCGGCGAUCGCUUGCUACCUCCCAGUUCUUCCCCUUCCCUGUCCUUAUUCCCAGACUGAGGAAUGCCACCCUGAAGUGUUUCCUUUGAGCCACCCCACCCCCAGGCUCCCCACUCUCUCAGCCAGCCCUAGCUGAGAGACGGCGCAGUGUGCUACCCCAGCACCAGCAUAAGGCCCUCCGCCCCUUGCCUUCUCCCCUGGGCAGAAGUACUUCAAACCGUCUGCUGGAAGCAAACAUUUCUAUUUUGGGGGGCGCCUGGGUGGCGCAGUCGUUAGGCAUCUGCCUUCGGCUCAGGUCAUGAUCCCAGGGUC